rnacentral:tRNA from 1 species
GUAAUCAUGUCAGAAUUAUAUGAGUUAGCUUUAAGCGUUAAUUAUGGGUUUUGUCCCUGAUUACU